rnacentral:lncRNA from 1 species
GAGUUACAUGAUUGUCACGCAGACAUUGAUAUCUCAUUUGAAAGGCGCGCCAAAAGAUUGCAACUCUCCACAACUUAAAUAUAUAGGUAGGAUAAUUUGGGAGCGAUCGGUCCAAAAAUGAACUAAGGGGUGUGUGUGUGUGUAAAUUAAUGGCUUGAUGAUGAUCGGCAUGACAAAUAAAAUAUUGUACAGUAAUGAGAAGGAUGGAAAAUGGUUGGUUAUGAGCAUCCGCAAGACUUCCCUUUACUUCCUCCUGAGCACAGAUAGAAAUCGGCCAGACGAUUUCUCCUUGCGCCAUUCACCACAAUCCCCAACCUGCCAUAAAAACUUGCAAGUCUUAGUGCUUGUGAUGAACAUGUACAGAAACAGAUAUGAUAUAUAAAGCCAUUUGUAGCACAAAACAGAAUUGCUAAAUACCUCUUUUGCUAUUUGUUGCAGGAUCUCUAUAAUCUCCGAGAAGUCAGGCCUUAGAGCUGGAUCCUGUUGCCAGCAUUUUUCUAGCAGUUCGGCAAGCUUUGGUUGAGUAUUCUUGGGUAUGGUAGGCCGUAGACCCUGAAACCACGUGAAUGAAAAGCACCACACAAAUUCUUAUAAUCAUGGACUCAUCAUAUGAAAUAGGGGAAAAAUGCUUGUUGAAAAUGAUUUUUACCUUUUGAACCACUCCAACAGCUGCUUGUAAAGGGGUUAAGUAUUCAUAUGGAAUCUGGGAAGCCAAAUAUGCAAAAAUGAUCAAUUUGCAAGAUCAGAAAUUAACUUACUGAAAAGCGAGGGGAUAUUAUACCAAAAUGACCAGCAGUACCUUUCCAGUUAACAACUCCCAUAACACGAUCCCAAAACUAAAUACGUCAGCCUUAUGGUCAUACGGCUUGUGCUCAAUGACCUUCAAUGCAAGAUAAAAGUUGUAAGAAAAUGGCGAGAUGAACCAUUUAGAAGAUGCAUGGUGGUUACCACCAGCACAACUAAUGAUGCAUCCAAUUUUCAACAAGAAUCAUGGGGGAGGGGAGAGUAAAGCUAUGGUUUAUUUAACAAUGGUAAACAAGUGAUCUCUCUCAGUGACAGCAAGAAGCAAAUUAAACACUAAGAUUAAUGUCAAGAUAGUUUGCACACUAGUACUGGGGAGGAUAUUGGUAAAGCUGGGAACACUUUCAGAAUAAAGUGUAAUGAAAACAAAGGCGCACCUCAGGAGCCAUCCAUCUAUAGGUCCCAGUUUCCGCGGUCAUAAUUCCAGUCUGAGCUUUCACUCUGGCAACACCAAAAUCAGCAACCUUGACUACCUGAAAUGAAAUGAACAGAUGUUUCUUAUAGAUACACAUACGGUACAAAGCUUCAGUUGAAUUUGAUUUAUCUUCCUCAGUGAUCAUGAUGAGAGUCGAAGACGUGUGGAGGAGGAUGAAAAAGACUAGGUAAAAAACAUCACUGAAGCUAAUCGAAUAGUAAACAAAGCACAUGCUGAAAAAAUUAAAUACGGUAAAGAAGAAUCUUACUUCAUUUUCAUCCAAGAGAAGAUUUGCAGCCUUCAAAUCCCUAUGAAUUAUUUUAUUUUGGUGCAAGUAAUCCAUUCCUUUAGAAACAUCUAUUGCUACUUUAAGUAAAUUUGGCAGCUUAAAAACACCCCCCUGCUUGUGUAGGUAGUCAUAGACACUUCCUCCGUACAUGAAUUCUAUUUAACAAAAAAGAAAAACAAAGAAAAAUCAAGAUACAAAAUGUUGAAUGGGAGAUGAAAAAUUAAAAGGAAAAAAAGAAAGAAAUUCACACGAGGAAUAAAUAAACAUAACAAAUGUUUCAAAACUCAUCGGCAUUAAUUUACCUGUUACAAUGCACAAACUUGGAGGCUUGGUGCAUGCACCGAUAAAUUGUACGACAUUCUUAUGUCGAACUUUCCUACAAGUUCAAAGAAUAUGUAAAAACAAAGGAAAUUAAAAACCAAACCCGAGAAACAGCCUAGAGUUGUAGAAAAACUAUGUAGCUGAAGACGUUGUGAAAGACCUCAUUAUGUAAACUUCUUGGGCGAAUUCUUUCUGCAAGUCUGAAUUUACUCGCUCAGGCUUGAGAAUUUUGAUAGCCACUUCCUGACUACAGUAUGUACCUUUGUACCUAAGCAAAUAGGAUGGAACAGUUGAAUAAGAAACCAAACAUCAACAGAAAUUGUAUCUAAAAGACAGUGAACUUACAGAUCACCAUACGAUCCAGAGGCAACUUUGUUCUCAAACUUCAAAUAUUUAGGAUCAAUUUCCCACACAUCAGUCCCGUCAUUGGGUAUUGCAACAUGAUUAGUAUCGUAUUUGAUCCUAAAUUGCUCGCGAUCCUGCAAACACAUUUAAAGUAAAUUGGAAUGCAUAUCAAAACAAGACAUAAUGAAUGAAACCGCACAAGGAAAAACAUGAAUAGGUUCUAGUCAAUUGAUGUGGUGAAGAGAUUAUGGCAUAAACUAGACAUUAUCAAUUAUCUUAUUGCAUUGGAAAAUUAAAGAAUAAGCAGAAGCAAAAUCUGAGAACUUCAAAAUGGUACCCAUCAGCAACCUAUGGUGAAUUAUUCCUGAAGUAAAUUCAGUCACAUGUGUUCUACCAUAUUCAAAACAUUGCUAGUAGCGUUAUGCCUGUCAUAUACAAGGCAUAUCAUCUAAUUUGAGGAGGUUGCUCGUGGAAGAAAUAGAUGAAACAAUUUUAAAAUGAUGAAGAUAAAAAAUACAUGCCAACAAAACAAGCAGGUUCCUAACACACAACUUAAUCAUCGGGAUAAAUUCUUAUUCAAUACAUGGCCUAGUCUAUUGCAAUCCUGGUCUACUCUUGCCCAUUUCCAGUACGUACUAUAAGAGUUGCUAAUUGGGAAUUCCUGAAUUGAACUCCUUUUUUCGUUUUCUUAUCACUAAUUAACUUGUGACCAAGUUUUAUUUCUACCUACAGCACCCCAUAAAAUAACCAAAUGGUAAAAAGAUCUGAAACUGGAUGAAGGAAAUUACAUCAAUUAUUGGAAAGCAAUUUAUAAAACAUUUCAUUGCAUCCCGCCCAAUUCACUGGCUUUAGAUAUAAUUAACUUCAAUUUGAGAGGACCAUUUUAGCAAAUAGACCAUUGGUUAGAAGAGAAUAUUCUGCUUGCAGGGUCAUGCAAAGCUUGCCUGAUCCUCAUCAAAUAAUAUGACAUCUCCACUAAAUAAGAAACAAGAAAAUCAAGAGACUGGAAAUAUAAUCAAUUCAAGUACAAAUAAAUUCAUAAAAACUCUUGUAGAACACCACAUUCAACAGUGAGCAUUGUGAGUGAGAGAAACCCAGAUUUAUUAUAAGCUGCAAACUCCAUAAGAAGACACUUGCGAUCACUACAAAUCAAAUCAGGGAAUUACCUCAAUCUUGGAAACUUCCUUUGCCAACGCAUCUCUGAGCUGCUCCGUUUCCUGAAAAUUAUGAACAGUCUGUUAAUCGAUCAAGUUCGUUGUGUAUUUAAAAUAUGUUCCUGAUUAAUGGAAACCUUAUGUAAUAAAAGGUGUGUAUGUUAAGUACCUCAUAUGGCCAACCAUCAACUGUCGAAAAUGCGUGCGCUUCUUGGAUGUUCAACCCAAUGUCAGCAACUAAGGAAGUCAGCUGUAAAUUCGCGAAACAUCAAUGACCUCAUAAAUAACUAGAAGCACAAUAAACGACAAAUACAUUAAACCAAUGGUUAAAUGUUUAUUUUAGCAGUACCAGACACCAUCACAGAUUUCCUGCUAACAUAAAAUGUCAGUUAUUCAUGCAACUUGACUAGCCAGUAAAAUGCAUGCUACCAGCUGGUGGAAUAUAGCUCAAAACGAAUCCUAAAAUUUGUUUGCAGUUCUUCCAAAUUGAAUACCAAAACAGCCUCCAAAUUGAAAGAAGAAGCAGAAUAAACGACGAUUUUCCCCAGCAAAUUGAAACAAUGAUUGAGAAAUAAAAUGAGCUUGGCUUACUUCAACAAGCAUGCUUAUCUUACCUGACUCAGGAGUUUUGGCUUGUCAUCAGUUGAAAAAGUAAUUUCAUGCAUGUAUCCUUCAAAACCUAAAAACACCUGCCGAAAACUUGUAUCAUGAACAAAUCCUCGCGUAGUCUUAAAAUCUACAGCCUAAUCAAUCGUAAAUUCUAUUCAUAAUCAAAUCUUCACAAAUUAAUAUCAAGAAGCAUCGGUAAUAUAAAAAACAUAACAAAUCAGUAAAUAGACGAUACCUGAACAAGGCGAAUUUCAAUCGCCGGUCGAUUAGCAGGAUCGUGAGCCAAACGCAGCAAUCUCUUAUGCGUUAACACAUCUUCUGCUCUCUCCACAUUCACAUCUAACGCAUAUCUACACCACAAAAGGUACCAAAAUCAGAAUUAUCCUCCAAAAGAUAAAAAUAAAAAGACAAAGAAAAAACUAAUAAUUCAAAUUAAAAAAAAACACAAAAUUUUCAUUUCCGUAACGAAGAGGCAACACCAAGUCACAUACAUACACAUAUAUCGUAUAGAUACACGUACAUGUGCGGAAACUAACACACACACACACGCACCUGGUAGGGAGGCUAUUGAAGGGAGUCCAGAGUUGAUCAUCAAAACCAGGUAGAUUAGCUUCUUCGUGAUUAGAUUCUUGAAGACGACGAAGAAUCUCAUUAUAAACCUCAAGUUUCUGCUGCAUCCUUUGCUGUUGUUGCCUUCCUUGUAACACCGAAUCAGACAAUGUCGUGUUCGUGUUCUCAUUCACUCUGCUGCCUGAGCUCUCAUCACUAAAAAAAAAAAAAACAAUAAAUAAAGCAAAAUGCAGAGAGAGAAGUUGCGAAUUUUAUUUAUUUAUUUCGCUUCUUACGUUAAAGAAAAAGGGAGGUAGGUUUAAGAGGAGAUUAAGGGGAGGGUUAAGAGAGGAUUAAGGUUUAAUUAAUCUAAUAUUAUGGAUUCAUAGUGGGUGCUGAAGAGAGAGAGGCUGCGUUGUGAGUUUGUUUGGAUGGGUUUUUGGCUUUCCUUCCGCUGCUCUCUAAAUAUGUAAGUUGUUUAGAGGCGUAGUGCGCACCAUCGCUCGUUAUCCUCCCCCAAAUAAAAUAUUAGCGGGGAGAGUUAUAUGCUGUGUGUACAUUACAUCAACUUCCAUGCAUCUUUACAACGUUUUUUUUUGUUUUGUUUUUUAAAUCCAUCUUUUUGACUUGGAAUCAUUCCGUUGAUGCUAUUUAAAUCAGAAUGUUUUGGGACUGAAUGCAGUGCACGAGUUAAAAAAAGGUUUUAAUUUUAGAAAAGCAAUAUUUUUUAUAAACUAUUUAAUUUUAUUAUAUGAAUUUUAAUCUUAAUGCAUGAAUUCGACCAACUAAAAGAUAUUGUUUGAAUAUUUAAUUAAAAAAUAAAAGAAGAUGCCAUGUUUGUGUCAUACGAAGACAAGCCCAUUUCCACCCCUAUUAAUCUAUAAAGGUUCAAAAAAGGCAAAUCCAAAGGGUCCCGCUGAUUCUGGACAAGCUCACCUUGGAAAUACCAUAAUGUCCAUAAAUAUUUGGUUUAUGUUUCCUAUUUGAUUUAUAAGGAAGGGGCGUUGGGAGUUGGUAGAGAUGUUUUUUAUUUUUAAAUAUAUUAAAAUAAUAUUUUUUAUAUUUUAAAAUUUAUUUUUGAUAUAUGUCAAAAUAUUCUAAAAAUAUUUUUAAAAAAUAAUUUAAAAUAAAAAAUAUAUAAAUUUUAACAAAAAAAAAAAGAGGAUCAACUUCAAUACUACCGAUCAGUGUAGAAAUACUCCAUGAAGAUGCGGCACCCACUUCAGUUUGUCUAAGAAUGUCGAAGAUAAAGCCAAAAUAAAACCACAAGGUGGCACUCCUCAAUGCUUGGAGCAAGGGCUUGUCAAGGGGGUUAAGAGUAAUUGCAUGUUGAUGGUUAUCUUGAUCUUUUUUCUGAUCAAGAAACAUAAUCUCCCUCGAAGUAUUUGCCAUGAAACACGAGGAACAGGGACCAAGGAGAAAGCUAAGAAGGUGCGGCUGAGUAAUGAGAUUCAUGGGAGAGGUGGAUUUUGGACCAGCAGUACUUAGAUGAAGUUACUUAAAAGCACUUUUCUUUCCUCUGUUGAUGCUAGCUUGUAACGUGAAAAAAAAAGAGAGAGAAGAAAAAAUGGGGAAUUAACAAAAUAAUUCAACUAAUAAAGUUUCCUUUGCUGUAAUUUUAAGAAAUACUAAUCCAAAUAUACACUUUUAAAAAAAAAUGUAACGGUCAAAUUAUUUAUGAAUAAUUAUUUACUCUCGAACUUAUGUAUUGAAAAAAAUCGAGUAUUUUGUCUUGAAUUCAAAAUAAAAUGAUACCACGACAAAAUAUGCAAUAAAUAUGACAGUUUUGCUAUUUUAUGUUAUUUCAAGCAAGUUGAUAGCACGAAAAAAGAAGAUGAGAACGAAGCAAGCAAACAAAAAAAAAUACUUUUUUAAUUAGAUAUAAUUUUUUUUAAUUGUGGGUAUCUAGAUCAACUUAUGCGUGUCUCGACUAAUUCCUCGGGAUCCUGAAAUUAAUAAUUAUAUAAAUUUUAAAUGAUUCUAAAAUUUAUAAUAUUUAAACUAAUAAUUUUAAAGAAAUAAAUUUAGGAUUUAACCAAAAUACACUGCUUGUAAUUUUAAUGAGGUAUUUCUUAAUUAACAGCUAGGUGUGCUAAAAAAAUAUGGUCUCACAAGGUAAUUACCUUAUAAUCUUGGGGGCAAUGUCUUGCUCGUUGAGCAUGAUACACGUUAUCAUCACACGGUGCUCCAUGUUAAUGGUAUCAGAUGUGGAAAAUCUGAUAAUUAAACAAAUAAAGUUUCCUUUACUGUAAUUUUAAGAAAUACUAAUCCAAAUAUAUACUUUAAAAAAAAAUGUAACGGUUAAAUUAUUUUUGACUAAUUAUUUACUCUCGAACUUAUGUAUUGAAAAAAAUCGAGUAUUUUGUCUUGAUUUCAAAAUAAAAUGAUACCACAAUAAAAUAUGCAAUAAAUUUGACAGUUUUGCUAUUUUAUGUUAUUUCAAGCAAGUUGAUAGCACGAAAAAAGAAGAUGACAACGAAGAAAAAAAAAACUUUUUUAAUUAGAAAUUUUUUAUUAUUAUUAUUAUAAACGUAGGUGUUUGAGCUAGCUUAUACGUACCACGACUAAUCUUACGGGUCCUGAAGUUAACGACCAUGUAAGCCUCCAGUAGCCAUCAUAUUAGCAACUAAAGAGCUCGAACUUGAGACCACAGGGAAAACAAAUUUUUUAGUCUCAAAUUUUUAUUACUGAGCCAACUAGUAGAUAAUUUAAUUAAAUAUUUUUUAAUUAACAGCUAGGUGUGCUAGGAAAAAAAAAAAAAAGUUCUCACAAGGUAUAUUACCUUAUAUCAUCACACGGUGCUCCAUGUUAACGGUAUCAGAUGUGGAAAAUCAACCACAGUCACGAAUUGCAAGAUACACAUGCAAAUCAUGGGUGUGUUGGUAUAAAUAAAUGUUCUUCAGAGUCAAAAUUGUUAGCUAUUUGGAGACAAGCAAUGUCCCACCUCCACUAUGUGCUUAGUGGGAAUACCUAAUCUCCACUUAGCACAAGUGGAGGCAAACGGUGGGCAUAAAUCAUGGCAUGAUUUAUGCCCUUCACUCCUAGCUUAAUAUAUAUGUAUGCUCAGUGAAGAGCUGUUGUGCUGGGGUGUGAAGAACGCAGAGAAGAGUGAAAACACAGAGAGAAAAACGUGAGAGAGAGAGAGCUUGAGUUGAGUAGAGAAGAUUUUCUCCUCCUCCUUGUUUUGUUGUUUGUAUUGUUUCUAAGCUUGAUUAAUACAAACCAGUAGCUCCGUGGAGUAGGCAAGUUGCCGAACCACGUAAAUUUGUGUGUGUUUGAGUUCUGGAAUUACCCAACAAAAAUCACUAAUAAAUCUUAUUGAUAGAGUGGAUUAAUAAUUAAUAUAGAAAUAAUUAAGAGCUUGAAAUGAAGCUUUAAAACACAACUCGCCUAAUCAAGAGUAGAUAGAUUUAAAUUGUUUUUUAAUUGGUUAGAUUUUAUGUUUUUCUUCAAUAAUUAUAAGUUUGAAUUUUCUUGAAAUUAUUGAAGGUUUACAUAAUUAUUAACUUGAGGACCCGUAGAAUUAAUCGAGUUACAUAUAAGCAGUUUCGAACACCCAAAUUAAUAAUAAUAAUAAUAAUAAUAAUAAUAAUAAAUUAGAUAGAUUUAUAUUUGAUACGAAUAUAAUUUCAGGAGCCGUGCGCGUAUAGAUUUGGUAUUAAUAAAAUAAACCAUGACCAGGACAAUCUUUUAGAAAGAAUUCUAGGCCACGUGUCAAUCCAGGAUAGCGAGAUAGAGCGGUUGACCUGAGCUAGCAGACACGCGAUUCGCAUUAGCAGAGGAAUAAUCGGGUAAAAUAAAGUGACAUGACAUGGAAGAUAAACAAGAAGAAAUGACUUGGACGGCACGUGGAAAGAUGGGAGUGGAUGAAGUGGUAAAGUGGCCUUUGGGUUUCACCAAAGGUCACGUGAGAUUAGCAGAGGAGAUUUGACAUCGAAGCGGCAACCUGUCGCCGCCAGACUUGCAAGAAUAUGCGAUUCCGAGUCCAAGAAUCCAUGUUUCUAGUGGAGUUUAAAUAAAUGAAUAUUUAAUCUUAUCCGAAACCGCAACGAAGGCAUGCAGUUUCGGUUAGUUAUUAAUAUAUGCAGGAGAACGGAAACAUUUCGAGUCAAAUUUUCUCUUGUUUUAAUAAUCUGGGUAGUGAAAAGAAAUGAGGAUAUUCUCCGAACUCUUUUAACAUCCUGCUUGAAUUCUUUCUCAGAUCGAUUUUUAGUAAACGGUUCAUGACUAGGUUAGCAUAUUUCCCAGAAAUUAUUUUAUUUUGAGUUAAUUAAAACCUGAAAAAAAAAUACAAGCAGAUAGUUGCGUUUUAGAGUCAUUUUUAUUGCAUUUGUUAAGCAGAGAUAAAUAAUAAUAAUAAUAAUAAUAAUAAUAAUAAUAAUAAUAAUAAUAAUACAGUUAUAAAAUUUAUUAGAAAAGUUGACUGGUUCAAGAAUAAAUUAUUAAAAUAUAAUUAAAAGCAAAUCAGAGAACUCUCUGAUUUGCUAAAAUAAUUUCUUUUAAAAUUGACAUUAAAAUAAUAUUCUGAAAAUACUGUUAUUGGGUAGUCAUUUGCAAUGUCCUCCACCAAACGAGAAUGACUGUUCAUUUGACGGUGGGCUUAUUUGCAUGGCCCUUUUACUUAGAUCAUACAAAAUUUAAAUUUAGACGGCGCAAAAAUAAGCACAUAAUUUCUAUCCGAUCUCGGCCCGUGGAUAAAUCCCUGCCCUUAAUAUUACUAGUGGACAAGUCCCCUGUCUAUAGGCUACAAUUUCAGGAGGUGGUAGCAAAUUUUGUUUUAGUUAGGGUUGCUGGAAUAAUUUAUUGCUGCAUGCAAGGUUUUUUUUUAGGUUUUACUUACCAUGGACACGCACUGUGUUGUGGGUAGGGUCAAGUUUUUUCUAUAUAUAUAUAUAUAUUAUUUAGAUAUUGCUACUGAUUGUUUUUUUAAUAGAAAAAAAUUUAAAUGGAGUGUAGUUGAUAUGAUGUGACCUGGUCGACUUUACGGGUUUAAAAGCAACUCAAAUAACCCGUAAAAAUAUACUUUUAAACAAAAAGAAAUCAAGGUGAUAUUUUUUUUUAAUAUUAAGAUAACAACAUAUCGUAUAAUUUUAGUCAGUUUGAGUUAACAUGUUAAACUCACGACCAAAGUUAUAAAACUAUGAUAACCCUAUAGAAAACAAAUCAAAAUAAAUUAUGAAGUAUAUUUUUCAAUCAGCCCAAUGUUGAAUGAUGAAAUUGAAAAAAAAAUCAAUUAAAAACAACCUAAAAAACAACCUGAGUUAACCUAUCAAACCCGCGAUCCGGGUCAUAAGACCAAGAUAUCUCAAUAGAAAGCAAACCGAAACAGAUAACAAAAUUCAAUUCACUAUUUGCCCAAUGUUUAAGAAUGAUAUUAAAAUAAUAAAUCAAUUAGAAAAAUACAAAAAAAAUAACCCGAGUCAAUCCGUCAAACCCAUGAGCUAAGUCAUGAGACCAAGAUAACCUCAUAGAAAAAAACAAAAAAACAACCUGAUUUAACCCGGGUUAACCUGCCAAAUAUGUGACUUUGGUAAUGAAAUUAAAGCUGUGUUUGUUUCCCGGAAACUGGUUUCCGGGAAACCACUUUCCAAACUUUCCUGUGUUUGUUUGCUAUUAAGAAAGUUGGUCAACGAAAAACACUUUUUUGUCAACGAAAAACAUUUUCCAGUCAAAAGAAAAUUUGGCUUGGUUUUCAGGAAAGUGUUUUUCUUUAAUUUUGGACGGAAAACACUUUCCGGAAGUUGUGAAAAAUUUAGAAAUGUCAUAUUAUUUGCUGAUUAUAUCAAAUUUGGUCCUCAAACUUUUAAUUGCUAUAUAUAAAUUUUGUUUUGAAUAUUUUUUUUCAAUUUCAUCCCUUAAAAUUUAAUUUUUAUAUUAAUUUUGGUCCUCAUUUUUAUAAUUUUUAUUUGCUUUUCCCUUAUCAUUUUUUAAUUGAAAUUUUUUAUCAAUCAAAUUUGAUCCUCAUUCUUUUGAUUGUUACUUAUUUUAUUUGAAAUAAUUUAUGAAAUUUUAAUUAUUAUUAUUUUAAUUUCUUCAUCUUUCAAUUUUUUUAUUUUUUAGAUUUGAUCUCUAUUAUUUUGAUUAUUAUUUAUUUUAUUUGAGAUAAUUUAUGAAAUUAUAUUUUUUUUCAAUUUCAUUCUCAUUCAACUUUUUAAUUUGUAAGAUUUGUUCCUCAUUAUUUUAAUAAACUUGAAAAAAAUAAAACAUUAAUAAGCUAUUUUCCAGCUCAUUUUCCAUGACAUACCCAAACACUGGAAAAUGUUUUCCAACUUAUUUUCCAUUACACUACCAAACAUCGAAAAAUAAUUCACUUUCUCGGAAUUCACUUUCCAAAAGAAAACUACUUUUCAGCAAACAAAUAGGACCUUAAGAUAAUCCUAUAAAGAGCAAAUCAAAACAAAUUAUGAAUCUCAAUUCUUAAUCGACCAUAUCAGAUCCAAUAUUAAAUGAUGAAACUUAUAAAUUUUUAAAUUAAAAAAAUGAUACGAAAAAUAAGUCUUGGUUUAUAAGACUAAGAUAACCUAAUAAAUAGGAAACCAAAACAAAGUAUGAAGCCUAAUUCCCUAUCAAACACAAUAAUAAUUGAUGAAAUUAGGGGGAGAAAGUCAAUUAAAAAAAGUUUAAGAAAAAAACUGAGUCAACUAGGUUAAACUGUCAAACUCAUAACUCAGGUCAUGAGACGAGAACAAUCCAAUAAAAAGUAAAUCCAAUUUUGAAGGACAUAUGACCCGAGUCACACUACCGAGAUAACCUCUUAGAAAAAAAUAAAAAAAUGACCUGAUUUAAUCGAGUUUAAAAUGCUAAAACUCGUGAACCUGAUCAUGAGAUCAAGAUAUCUCCAUUGAAAGUAAAUCAAAACAGAUUAUGAAACUUAAUUUUCAACUGAUUCAAUGUUGAAAGAUAAAAUUGUAAAAAACAAUCAAUUAAAAAAAGGACAAAAAACAACCCGAGUCAAUUCGGGUUAAUUUGUUAAGCACUAUUAAUUAUCAGGUCAUGAGGCCGAAAUAACCUAAUAGAAAAUAAACAAAACAAAUCAUACAACUUAAUUCUUGAUCAACCUAAUAUUAAAGGAUAAAAUUAAAAAAAAAUAAUUAAGAAAAAAUAAGAAUCAACCAGAUUAACCCGUGAUUCGUGUUAUGAGAGUAAAAUAACCUAAUAAAAAAUAAAUGUGAUAUUGAAAGAUGAGAUUUUAAAAAAUAAAAAUAAAAAAGCAUUGAUAGAAAAAGAAAUCAAAGAAGAAAAAAGAAGCACUAUUUAAAUAAAUACUGAUUUGUGAGGAGAGCACAGCAAAAACCCCUCUUUUAGCUAGUUUUUUUCUUAAUCUGAUACAGCCAUCUUAUUAGCUAGCUAUUUUGAUUUUGUACUCGAAAUCCAUUUAAAGCAAUUUUUGGUUUACCUUGUUCUUGGAUUGCCAUUUGUUAUAACUUGUACCAAGCAACUCCACAAACUAUGACUAAUUAGUUAUUGAUAGGAAUGGUGGGCACAUUUGAUGAAGAAUGAAGGCAUCAUAUGCAUCAACCGCCGCAGCCAGCGGAAUACACGGCCCUUAAUUUUAUGAGCUGGGUAGAGGACAGUUUCAGGGGCAGGGCACUAAGAAUUGAGGGCAUCAUAUGCGAGCAAGCAUUUUGUUAAUGGUGCCAACACCACAAGAAGAACGCACCAUGCUAUACACACAGAAAAAUAAUGCACAAAAACUCUUACAUGCUAUUAUAUGUAGCUCUUCAAUCCAUUGGCAAAUCAUAGGCAAUCUAUAAUUCCCUGAAGUUUGCAUGCUAGAGACUUUACAGGGAAGAAAUAUAGCUUGAAUUGUACCUAUUCGACCCCCAUUUGUUUUUCUUAUUGGCCGGCUUUUUUUAUUUAUUUAUUUUUUUAUCGUCUUGGAAAGUUCGAAAUGAAAAUUCCCUUUUUUUUCUCUUUUCGUUGGGCUAAUUAUCUGCAUGCAAAAAAUAUCUUAAUGAAUAAAAUCUUCGCUAUCGAUAUAAGAUAGUGAUCGGGAGUAUGUCCACUAAUACCCAUUAAGCAUGUCAAAUCAUAUUGAAUGUUUUCCCUAAAGAAAUAUAAGCAAAAAACCUUCAAUUUGAGCACUUAUUUGUAAAAUAAUAUUACAACCAAGGAUCUAAAUAGCUUUUUCCAAAAAUGUAGGGAGCAAAAAUAAAAUGAGUGAGAGACUAUUUAUAUUUUUAGGCACGGGCUAAUGUUAUAUUUAUCCUUGUAUUUAUGCUAAUUAUUUAUUUUUAUUGUUGUGCUUUUUAUUUCGUCAAUUAACUUUUUUGUUCUUCAAAUUCGUUUUAUUAACUUUUGUGGUCUCUAAAUUUGUUCAUUUAUUUAAAUAAAUAGCUCGCUUGCCUCAAUAACUCUCAAUUCUAAGAUGACUCUUUAUUAAAUUUAUAUUUAUGUAGGGCUUUUAUCACAAAAUAAACUAUAUAUCUUAGAUUUAUUUUUCUUAAGACAAUUUAUUUGGUCAUUAUUAUCAAUUAAACUUUACCUUCCUCAGAGAACGUAGAUAAUUCAUUACUUAGGAUAAUCUUCCGAGGAUGAUAUAUAUGUCCAAGUAAGAAUUGGAUUAAAGUAAAAAGGUUUAUUGUGCUAUUUGAGAUUGUGGUUGAAUUAUAUUUUUGAAAAAUGUUGAUUUUUUUUUAGCUUUAUAUUAAUAUUUUUUUGUGUGUGUUUUUGAAUUGUUUUGAUGUGUUAAUAUUAAAAAAUAAAAAAAAUAUUAUUUUGAAAAUAUUUAUUUUAAACUUUAGACCUUGUAUGUAUAUAAAAAAUCACAACAUACAAAAAGCAUUUAAAUAUUAUCAUAUAAUUAGUAUGCAUAGUUAACAUGAAGACUUGAAAGAAGUUAACUUGAACACAUUCAAAGACACAAGGGUUACUUGAAUAGAAUUAGAAACACGAAGGGUUAUUGAUCACAUUAAAAAAAGAAGAACAGGGAUAAGAAUGAAUAAUUAACAUAAAUACAGGGGUAAAAUACAUUGAUAGAAGCAUUUUCAGGUUUCAUGGAACUUCCUUGCAAGUUUUGCUGCAAAUUCCAUAAUAUGAUCUUAUCAGAGCUCCCACCUUCAUCUACUGCUAUCUUGGCUAGUUUCAUCCAUUUCUCAGAGUUCCUUCUCAUCUUAUUCCCUCUUUCACCUUCCAUGACUUUCUUUAUAAGCCUUUCUACCUCUUCUUUAGACACAAUCCCCUUUUCAUUUGCCUUCACUCUAACUCCUACAUGCCAAACAUCGGCAAUGGACUCCUCCGCAAAGUUGCUUGAAAGUUUUUUCCCUUCUGAUUCUCUAUUGGAAAUAUCAUGCGUCAUGUGUUUAUAUUCUAGUCGUACUCCAUCAUCUGUUAGCUCCUGAAAUUGUGGUUAUAGUUAAAGAUAAUACCGUGUACUGUUACAAUUUAAAUCCUAUAUGUAAUAGGAUAACAAUCCGAGAGAGAUUGAAACAGAGUCUAGCUUUGUUUCCCUAUAUAUAUGUAUGUAACUUUGCUGGACAAUUAAUAAGAAAAACGUGAAUCUCUUUCACUCCUAAAUUCUUCAUUCUCUGAUGACUACCCACAGGAAGCAGCAAUCACUCCUCUUUAAUUAGGCCCCAAGCAAUUUCUUCCACUUGCUCCUCUUCCAGUGCAGCCAUGCUUCCAAAUGACACAUAAACCACUGAGCCAGUUUCCUUUGAAUCUAGCUAGCCACUCAUUGCAACCGUCCAGAUUAGGAUUGAAGAGGCUUAGACCGUACUCUUUGUCAUCCUCCAGCUGCUUGUCCAAGUGAAAUGAUGGGAUCAUUGGUCCUAUUGGCUUUAUUGACCUUUGGCUUGCCAACCAGUUUACCGCCUGAUGGAAAUCAACAAAAUUUUGAGUGCCACAGAAGUAAAAGGAGCAUACUUUGAAAGUAUGGUAUCAUCUUAUGAACAACGAAAACAGAAUUUAAAUAGGAAUUUGAAGCAUUUUUGCUCUCGUAUAUGUUUCUUUGCUUGUCAAUCAGUUGUUGACUGCUUGCUUGCUUGAUCGCACAUUUGUUUGCUUUGUUAUCUCUGGCUUCCCUUGGACGAAGAACUUUAUUGGAUGGCUGUCGGGGAACCUGAGUAGGGAAACGGGUGAAAUCAACGUAUUGAGACUUGCUUAAGAUAAAAGGUUAGAGAGAUUAAAUAACCAAAUCAUGGCAAGAGGGGAAACAUGGUGGAAAGUAAAACAGGGAGUGGGAUAUAUCCACACAGCAAUGGUAAAGGAAUAAAAAGAAUUUACGAGCAAGGUAUAUUUUUAUUAAAAUGUUUUUUUUUAAGCCUUUUUGAACUUAUGUUUUUUUAAUUUUUAACCUUGCGGAAUAUAUUGACGGACUUAUUAUUAUUCCGCAACAAUGCUACAAAAUUUUAACUGGUGUUUACUUGAACACUUUUUGUAUAAUUCUUUUUUAAAUUUUAUUUUUCAAUUUCAUUUUAAUUCUUUAGAAUCAUUUUCUCAUUCUAGAAACAUUUAUUUUAAAUUCUCCUUAUUUUUUUAUUCAUAUAAAUUUGUUAUUAAUUUCACAGUCAUUAUAAAUUUUAAAUUAAAAUUCACAAUCCUCAUUUUAACUUCAACAAUAUCUUUAAAUUCUUUUGUGGAGGUCAUCGCUUUUAUUACAUGCCUUAUUUUUUAUUUUUGUUGUUAUUUUUAUCCCGAACUUUCAUUAGUCUUCAAAACCUUACUAUUUUGGUUUUACUUUUUACACGCUGGGUUCACAAUUUGUUUUUAACAAGUUAUUAGUUAUUAGGUAGUCAGUUUAAGUUUGCUUUAUUGAUGUUCAGAUUAUAAGUUAUCUAACGUUAUCUUUGUUUCUUUUCUUUUCAAUGUUUAGCCUUGUUCUUAAUUACGAAAUCAAUUGCUUAAUAAAAUUCUGGUUGUGCAUUCUCCGAUCAUUUGUAAGGCUACAUGAAUAUGAUGGAAUUCCUUUAGUUUUUUAUAGGUUGAUAUUAUCUUAUUGAAUUAUUAUAAAACACCCUAAAAUAGUAAAAUUAAAUAUAUGUAUUGAAGAGUUGUAAACUUAUUCCAUAGUUUUUUCUCUAUGAUAUAUGUGAGGUUUUUCACCAUGCUUUCUUCCUAGGCCCCGUUUAUUUGCUGGAAAGUAGUUUUCUUUUGGAAAGUAAAUUCCGGGAAAAGUGAAUUCCAGGAAAGUAUAUUUCGAUGUUUGGUAGUGUAAUGGAAAAUAAGUUGGAAAACACUUUCCAGUGUUUGAUUGUGUCAUGGAAAAUGAGCUGGAAAAUAACUUAUUAAUGUUUAUUUUUCUCAAGUUUAUUAAAAUAAUGAGGAACAAAUCUUACAAAUUAAAAAAUUGAAUGAGAAUGAAAUUGAAAAAAACUAUAAUUUCAUAAAUUAUCUCAAAUAAAAUAAAUAAUAAUCAAAAUAAUAGAGAUCAAAUCUAAAAAAUUAAAAAAAAAAUGAAAGAUAAAGAAAUAAAAAUAAUAAUAAUUAACAUUUCAUAAAUUAUUUCAAAUAAAAUAAGUAACAAUCAAAAGAAUGAGGAUCAAAUUUGAUAGAUAAAAAUUUUCAAUAAAAAAUGAUAAGGAAAAAACAAAUAGCAAUUAUAAAAAUAAGGACCAAAGUUAAUAUAAAAAUUAAAUUUUAAGAGAUGAAAUUGAAAAAUAAAUAUUCAAAACAAAUUAUAUAGCAAUCAAAAGUUUGAGGAUCAAAUUUGAUAUAAUCAACAAAUAAUGACAUUUCUAAAUUUUUCACAACUUCCGGAAAGUGUUUUCCGUUCAAAUUUUCCAGGAAAACACUUUCCUGAAAACCAAGCCAAAUUUUCCUUUGACUGGAAAGUGUUUUCCGUUGACCAACUUUUCUAAUGUCAAACAAACACAGGAAAGUUUGGAAAGUGAUUUUCCGGAAACCACUUUCCGGAAAACAAACACAGCCAAAGGGAAAACACUUUCCUGAAAACCAAACCAAAUUUUUCUUUGACUGGAAAGUGUUUCCGUUGACCGGAAAGUGUUUUUUUCCCUUGAUCAACUUUUCUAAUGGCAAACAAACACAGGAAAGUUUGGAAAGUGAUUUCCUGAAAACUACUUUUCAGGAAACAAACAUGGCCUUAAUUUAGUUCAAUCAAACUCAUCUUUUUAAGCAACAGCAAUAAUAAAUAAAUAAAACUUUAAAAAAUGUUCCUUAAUUAUCCUGUUAGAAAAAAACUGAGAUUAUAGAUGGAAAGAGUGCUAAAAUCUCAAGGAACAAAUAAGACGUUCAGAUCAAAGAAAUACGAAAGGCAAAUACAGUGAAACAUCACAGCACGUUUUUCUCUUAAAUUGCGUGAUGGGAAAUUUAGAAAAUAUUGAAUAAUACUAGGAUUGAUUCUUUAACUUUCUUGUCUAACCUUAAGGCUUAAUAAGAAAAUUUAGAUGAAAUACAAGAGUUAUGUUAAGCAGCUAUCAUAGAAUCAUUUUCAGGUUUCAUGGAACUUCCUUGCAAGUUCUGCUGCAAAUUCCGUAAUAUUCUUAUCAGAGCUUCCGCCUUCAUCCACUGCUGUCUUGGCUAGUUUCAUCCAUUUCUCAGAGUUCCUUCUCAUCUCACUCCCUCUUUCACCUUCCAUGACUUCCCUUAUACACCCUUCUACCUCUUCUUUAGUGACAAUCCCCUUUUCAUUUGCCUUCACUCUAACGCCUACAUGCCAAACAUCGGCAAUGUACUUUGCAUUUGUUGGUUGAUCAGUCCACUGUGGCAUUGCCACCAUUGGCACUCCUAAGCUCAACGCCUCGAGUGCUGAGUUCCACCCACAAUGUGUCAUGAAGCAACCAACAGACUUGUGAGCCAGAACCUCUAGCUGCUGGCUCCAGGUCACAAUCAGACCCUUCUCUGAUGACUCCUCCGCAAAGUUGCUUGGAAGUUUUUUCUUCUCCGAUUCUCUGACUACCCACAAGAAGUUGCAGUCACUCCUCUUUAGGCCCCAAGCAAUUUCUUCCAUUUGCUCCUCUCCCAGUGCAGCCAUGCUUCCAAAUGACACAUAUACCACGGAGCCAGUUUCCUUUGAAUCUAGCCACUCCAUGCAGCCGUCCAGAUUAGGUUUGAAGAGGCUGGGACCGUACUCUCUGUCGUCCUCGAGCUGCUUGUCCAAGUAAAAUGAAGGAAUCAUUGGUCCUAUUGGCUUUAUUGACCUUUGACUUGCCAACCAGUUUACCGCCUGAUAGAAAUCAGCAGGACUUUUUAGUGCCGCAAAAAGUAAAAGUAGCAUAUUUAGAAAAUAUGAACAAAGAACAAAGAAUUUAAAUAGGAAUUUGAAGCAUUGCUGCUCUCGUAUAUGUUGCUUUGCUUGUCAAUCAAUUGUUGACUAGUUGCUUGUUUGAUUGCACAUUUGUUUGCUUUGUUAACAAUUAUAUAUGUAUUAAGAUCAAGACAUGCAUUUCAUAUAUAGAGGAGAUCUUUAGUGGUACCUCUUCCUCCAGGGUGCUGAAAGUGUUGACAAAGAUCCAAUCAGCUUCCCUGAAAUUCGAAAACUGACCGACCACAUGGUUCAGUAGUAAUGAAUGUUCUGAUUCUGAAUCCAUACCUUGCACGAAUGAUGGUAGAUCGGUAAUUUCUAGUGCUGAAAGUGCUGGCAAACGUGAAACUGUUACCAGCAACUUCUCUGGUGGAAUCUUUAGCUGCAUCUCAUGAACGUUGUAGUAGACAUUGUCAACGGCACACGACUGUGUGAAGAGCGAAGCCCCAGUGAGGCCAAGCUGUCUAGCUGUGUCUAGAAGCCAAGGCAAGUGGGAGUCAUACAGAAGGCAACUUAUUGGAUGCCCAGAAGAAUUGUUUAGUUCUGCAACGAGUUCUGGCAAUUUUCGUGUCACCGUAGCUCGGAGCUGUUUUAAGUAGUCAUCUGACGAAAGCUUGCCUUCAUAGCUAACAAAAUCUAUGGUCACAACUUCGACCGAGCCAAGUCGGUGGGUAUGCUUGAGCACCUUGCUUGAGAAGAUCACUAUUGUCACCUGGACUCCUUUGGAGGCUAGGCGCUUGGAGAAUUGCAUCAUUGGGUUGAUGUGACCUUGAGCAGGAACAGGUAUGGCCAGUACAUGACUCUUACUCUUUCUUUCUUGCUUCUCCAUUAAUUUCUCUAACCAAACCCGUCUAUUUGCCUUCCAUUCUCCUGAGUAGAACUACUACUUUUAUAUAUAUGUAAGCAUGUUGUAUCCAAAUUGUAGCAGUGGACCAUAGUCAUGGUCAAACCAGUCGUACUUGGCAGACAAGGAAGGAACAAACGUGGUAACCAAGUUUACAAAGCUUGGAGGCUACUCUUUUUUUUUUUCUUUUUUUUUUUAACACUACACUACAUUUUUUUUUUAAGUAUAGGCGUCAUCGUUGAUAAUUGGAUUAAAGUUUAUUACACAAUUAAUUGAAGUUUUUCAUGCGUUUUUCUAAAGUUUUAUUUAUUUAUUUAUUGUUGUUGUUGUUUAAAAAGAUGAUGAGUUUGAUUGGAUUGAAGUUUAAGAUGGAAAGAGUGAUACAAUCUCAAGACUUUGAUUUUGUUGGCUCAUAUUCUUUGGAGUUUUAGGCCGCUCAUUCCUCUAGUUAUUGUCUUCUACUUAUUGUCGACAAUGAAGAAUUGUAGCUUGAAGUGUCCAACUUUUCUAUCCCCAUGUUUUCUCCUAUUGGCCAUGUGGUCUUCUAUUGACUUGGAAAAUUCAAAAUGAAGACUCCCUGCCGUCUUCUAUUGACCUGAGGGUUUUUGAUUUUUUGGAUUUCCCUUUUCUCCUUUAUAUAUAUAUAUAUAUAUAUAUAUAUAUAUAUAUUCUUCUUUUCUUUUCUACACAAUUAAUUAAGUUUAUUACAUGGGGGCUUUCUGUAAUUUUCCAAACUUUCCUCCUUUUUCCCACAUCAUCGAUUUAUUCUUUUUUAUUUUUUAUGCCCUUCCAUUUCUGACAGAAAUUUGGAAGAUUCAAUUCCUUCUUAAGGUUUUUUGUUUUUUUUUUUAAAGAAAAAAACAUCAUUUUUAUCAAUUCAGAAUUACAUCCCAAAUCUAUAUAUUUUAUCAAGGUUUUUUAGAAAAGUAGUUUAUGAUUUUAAAAUAGAAAGACCUAAUGAAUUAUGAAGGUUUUUUAGAAAAGUUAAGAAAACUAAUAAUUAAACCUAAUGAACUUAGUCCUUGAACUAAAAAAGCCUUACAAUUUAAACCCAAUUACUCAUGGCCGAUUGAAAAUAUUUAUUUUGAACAUCAACAGUGAUAUAAAAAAUCACACCAUAGCAAAAACAUAGCCAUUUUCUUUAAUUUUGUAACAAAGAAUAUAUCUCAUAGGCAUUUUCUUUAUUUUUUUGUAUACCAAAAUAAAAGACACUGAUAAUACAUUUUUCCUUUUCUUUUAUUUUGGUGAAUAUAGAUGGCGAUUGGAUAGCAUAUCGGAUCUCGAGAGUUACUUUAUUUUAUCUUAUUAUUACACUUUCUAAGAAGAAUACUAAUAUUCUACUAAUAAAAAAACGAAAAGGUAACUGGAUAAAUUUAUCUGUGAAUUGUGAUAUAUGAAAACAAAACAUAUAAAUCCAACAGGAUUUAAAGACUAACAUUUUCGUUCAUGCUAGCCUUUUCACUUAUAUAUAUAUAUAUAUAUAUAUAUAUCCUACAAUAUUUCACAUAUUUACUUUGCUCUUUUUCUGUUAUUGUAGGGCAACUGUGAUAUUUGGAAUUCAACUUUUUUGAAAACGGUGAGGAUUAGUUCAUGUAUGUCUUAUUAAAUUACAAUCUUCCUCUUACAAAAAUGGAUGUUUCGGUUCAAAGAGUUAAUCUAAAUAUUUGGUGUUAAUUUAUAUAAUUAUACUUAAUAUGUUUAGAAGCAUCAUAAAAUUAUUACAAUACGAAAUUCCUUAAUAAUUUUUCUUGAAGGGAUGGUUUUAAAAAAGUUUAAUGCAUGUUGGGAAUAAAUAGAGAUUUUUUUAAUAUUUUAUUUUCCUUAUAAGAGGUUAUUAUAAUUUAAUUAAGAAUCUUACGAUUGUUAAAAUAUAUAUGAUGUAUAAACUACACUUGAUGCGAACCUCGUUAUCACGUAGUCACGCAACCCACAAUCAAGAUUGAGAUCUGAUCCUAGAAAGCCGAUAUAUGUCUGAUAGAAGUGUGACACAAUGUACACCUGUCCCAAAGCACCACACUAUUGGAAUGAGGAGAUGACACCAUGAAGCNNNNNNNNNNNNNNNNNNNNNNNNNNNNNNNNNNNNNNNNNNNNNNNNNNNNNNNNNNNNNNNNNNNNNNNNNNNNNNNNNNNNNNNNNNNNNNNNNNNNGUUAAUCUUCGAUAAGUCAGAUUUAGUUCGUUCAAGAACUGAAGAAUGCGAGAAUCACUCUCACACGUUAAAACUGAAAAAAUCUAAAAGUAAUAAUCAUCAAAAGUGCCGAAAUUUAGGUUACAUGUGUUUAAAUAGUUCGUAAAAGUAACCCUAAUGGAUCUACCCUUGUGGGCUGAAUUGACCUAUAUACAAAACUGACCCAAAAACACUAAACUAAAAAGACCAUAACCUGAUCCAAACAAGCCUUGGAUCCUAGCUCAAAACAAAGUUUUAAUUAAGCCCAAACAUGAAAGAAAGUAAUAAAAAUAGCUAAUUUGUCAUUAAAUACCACUAGCUUUUCUUUCCUUGUGUAGCUAGGGUGAAUACGGAAUCCUUAUAAGAAAAUGAUUCUAAAACAUUAAUGAAUCAUUGCCACACUUGGAGAUUAUACUGCAGCUCAUUAAAGAUCCUAGUGGAACUGGGAAAUUCCCAAAACCAGCUGCCACAUCCUUGUAGGAAAAGAAUCCUAACCAAAUAGGAAGUCCACAAGUCAAAUGGAAAUAAAUAACAAAAUUCAUACAACCUCUGUUGACCAGUAUUGCGGUGCCUUCCCAAAGUCCGAUUGAUCUGAAAUUUUAACUCAUAGUAGGAAAACAUGUCUGGCGAGUCCACAAAACAUUUUAACCCUAUCCAACGGUCGGAUUGAGAAUUAUAAUUGUUGCCGUAAACCUGGAUUGUUGCGUUUUUUAUGCCAAAAUCUGAAUCUGACGUUACUUGGGUCGUAUCACAAGGCUGAAUCGUAUCAACACUACUUGUGCUCAUCGGUAAGUAUUCUCUCUUUCUCAUUAAAUGUAUGUAUUAAGAUGCAAAAUCAUUAAGGGCGAUAUUAUCUCUAAGUUUUGGUACUUCAAUGGUUUCAUCCAUGCAUUACCUUUUGCUUAUUUUCAUCAUUUAAAUUGUUAAAAAUAAGUCUUUCAAAUCUAAAUUUCUCAAUUCAACUCUAAUUACUUAUUUUCUUGCAAUCAAUGUCAAUUUUUCCAUUAAAUAUGAAGAAGUGUAAAAAAAAAGAUAAAACAAAUUAUAAAAAAUGACAAAUGGGAAACAUUAGGAAAAAAAAAUCAAACUUAAAAUUUAUUUGAAUUUUGAAUUUUUUUCUAAUAGUUCUCAAUUGUUGAUUUUAUACAUUUUUUAAUUAUUCCUUUUUUAAAAUUAUAGGUGUAAAAUUCUAUAUUCUUGGCAUGCGUUGACAUUUAAUGGAAAUAUUGGUCAAAUCACAAUAGAGGGAUGAUAUUAAAAAAUAUAUAGAGUAAAGGGACUGUAUGAAUAAAAAAAUAAUAUUAAAGAAUAUCAAAAAUAGAGGUUUGGAAUAUACAAUUAUUUCAUUGUUUAUUAGAGCUCUAAGUUUAAAAUUAGAGGAUUAGGAUGGAAUUAAAAAAUGAAUUAAAGUUUGUGGACUCAUUUUAAUUACAGCUCUAACAAAUAAAGAGAGAUAUUUUAUAAGGUAAUGAAUAAAAUGACAAAAUCUGAAAACAACAUAUAUAGGCAAGAAAAAAUCAAUAUAUAUUUUUUAAUGUUUUUAUGUUUUGCAUUUUCCCUAAAAUCAUUGGAAUCUUAGUUAAAUAUUAUUUGCUGAUAAGAAUUUCAAAUUUGAAAAAAUUUGAUGCUUUUGUGGAUAUAUAUUUAAAUUAAGAAUCAUAAUUUCAUUUAGAAAAAAAGUAUUUACAUGGCAAUCUAAUAACAAAUAAUAUAUUUCUAUAAUUGAUUAAUGUUCUUAUAAUGUCUAUAUGCAGAGAUAUAUCAUACAUUAUUAUUCCUUUAUGGGCUUCCAUGUCUCAUAACCUUAUUGAUCUACAAAUGGCGAAGAAGGCAUUUAUCAAUAUAUGGUAACAUUGAAGAAUUCUUGCAAAGUCAUGAUCAUAAUCUCACGCUUAUAAGGUGCUCUUACUCGGAGAUUAAGAAGAUAACUCACGGAUUCAAUGACAAGUUAGGUGAAGGAGGUUAUGACUCGGUGUAUAAAGGAAAGCUUCGUAGUGGUCGUUUUGCGGCUGUAAAAAUUUUGCACAGAGAAAAAGCUAAUGAGCGAGAAUUUAUCAAUGAAGUUGCCACCAUUGGAAGAAUUUACCAUUGCAAUAUGGUGCAACUCAUAGGCUUUACUGUUGAAGGCUCGAAGCGUGCUCUUAUAUAUGAGUUCAUGCCUAAUGAAUCUCUUGAAAAAUAUAUUUUUUCUAGGCAAGGUAGCAUACUGCUGAGCAACCAGAAAAUAUAUGAAAUUUCUCUUGGAGUGGCUCGUGGCAUUGAAUAUCUACAUCAAGGUUGUGACAUGUAGAUUUUGCAUUUUGACAUCAAACCUCACAACAUUCUUCUCGAUGAAAAUUUCACUCCAAAAGUCUUAGAUUUUGGACUAGCAAAAUUGUAUCCAACUAAUGAUAGCGUUGUGUCCCUUACUAUGGCUAGAGGAACGAUGGGAUACAUGGCUCCUGAGUUAUUUUACAAAAGCAUUGGAGGCGUCUCUUACAAAGCCGAUGUCUAUAGUUUUGGGAUGUUGUUGAUGGAAAUGGUUGGGAGAAUGAAAAAUCUGAAUGCAUUGGCAAAUCAUUCUAGUCAGAAGUACUUCCCUUCAUGGAUUUAUGACCAGGUUAAUGAAAGAAAGGAUAUACUUGAAGAUCAAGUGAUAGAGCAGGAAAAGAACACAAUAAAAAAAGAUGAUUAUAGUGGCAUUAUGGUGCAUACAAUUGAAGCCUAUUGAUCGUCCCUCGAUGCACAGAGUUGUACAAAUGCUUGAAGCAGAUAUUGAAUCUCUACAAAUGUCUCCUAAGCCUUUUCUCGUUCCACAACAGACAUCAAAUGAUGAUAAGAUCAAUUUGGCUAAUCCAACAAGUUUAAGAGAUCCAUCGAAUAUUUGCAGCAUCGAUUCUUCAUAUCAGUUCGGUCGUUGAUAUAAAUACUUGUUUAUUUACGUAAUAUGUUAAUUUUGUAUGCCUUAACUAUCUGAAUUUUGAUGAUAGUCGAAAUCAUAUGGAUGUUUGUUAAAACUUGCAAUUAACUAUCUUACAAAACACCUAAUAUAAUAUAUAUUUUUUGAUUAAACACCGAUCCCAGAAGCUAUAGCCACAAAAAAAUAUGAACUUGCUUGUGAAAACAACCUUCCAACUUUAUACUUGAAGAAGAUAAGAUAUUUUGUUGAGCCAAUCAAUUAUAGUAACUUUCACUAACUCUUUUUUUCCUUGUGAUUUUUCUCUAGUUCUAGAUUAAGCAUAAUAUAUAUUUAGUUAAUGAAUGGAGUUACGAAUCAUGAUUAUUUGUGCAAACUAACUCUCGUAGAGAACACUUGUUGGGUGGGUUCUUUGGGAAAUUUUUUAAACUUAUGAAAUAAAAUUAUCACCUAAUAUUAUGGUGAUGAAAUGGAGUUGCCAAUUAAUACCAUCCCUAAAACAUCAUAUCUAAAGUAGAUUGUAUUAUCAAUCUUGUCUUAAUUGCUAAUAGUUUGUUAUCCUAUACAGCUAUGGUUUAUUUACUUAUAGGGUGAAAGUGAGUUCAUCAUAAUAGAUUAAACUCUUGGUAUAUUAGUCUUAUGAGCCUUUUGGUUGUGACAAAAUCUUAAUGGGUCUAAUAAACUAGUGAUUAAAUUCAAAUAUACAUGCACAAAGAUUUUUUUAAAAAAAUAAGAUAAGAAUAUUUUUAUUCAGAUGCUAACAUAAAACAAAAACAUUUUUUUAUUUUAGAUUUUUAUGCUACUACAAGUAUUUUUAUAAAAUGCUAAAAUAUAUAAAAAUAUAUAUAUUUUUGCCUUCUUUUCUUUUCCUUUUUUUUUUUAAGACAAAUGCUUCUUCUUCUUUUUUAUAAUGAUAGAAUAUACAAAAAUAAUUUUUUUUUUAAAGACUUGUACAUAAUUCCUAAUGCACACCGAAAAACCUAACAUAAAAUUUGAUUAUUUUUUUUUCCCUCUUGAACGUGAGUACGCUUGACCCUAACCCUUCAAACCCAUGAACGCAGCUCAAAUAAUCAAAACCAUAGCUGAAAACCCAUGAACAUUUAUCAAGGAAAGCCUAAGCCCAGCCUAGUGUACAUUGAAACCUAAAAACACUAACCCACAGCCCCGUUAGCCUAUAGCCCAUCACAUGUGGCCCAAAUUAGAAGCCAAACGAUCCAAAAGAAGACGCACAUUAGCCCAUUAUCAUACAAAACCCAGAUCCACCUAAAGCUCAACUCUUUUAUUGACCCUAAUCCCUAAACACAAAUUCACGCAGCAAGUAGAGGCGUGGAAGGAAAGAAGGAAGAGCAAAGAAACUACUGCAACUUGAAACAAACAGGAUGCAUGCUUAGAUCAAUCAAAUUGUAACUUUUUCUAAACAUCUCUUCAAAAAUCAUUGCAAUAGUAAAAAGAAAUCAAUCCCAUUCUCUCGUCAUUCUUCUUUUUAUACAAACAAAAACACCCAUAAGUGGAAUGAAUUCAUGGAAGCAAGCUGAAGUGUUAAGAACAAAAAAAAAGGAACAUACCUGGAAAGAUGAUGGUACUACUCUUGAAGAAAAGGCAAAGUAUUUGUUUCACCAAUAAAAUCCACAAGAGACCAGCAAUAGUUGUUAAUGUCAGCUUUCACCUUGGCUUUUUUUUUUUCUCAACUCCAACCCCUCUAUACAGAUAAUUUUCUCCAUUCCAUAGAAUAAAAGUACAUCAGGUGCGGAAGUCCAUCAUCGCCUCUCAGUGUUUGAAGGAGAAAUAGAAGUGGAAGUCAAUGGUGGACUUCCGCACCUGAUGUACCUUUCAUAACUCAAAUCAUAUAAAUUACACAAUCAUGUCAUUAUAAAUCAACAGAAUUGUUUUCUUUUAAUUACGAAGGAGAUAUUCGAAUUUAAAAUCUCUUGAAAUAAAAAAUGACACUUUUCACCAAUCUUGUUUUCAAGAUGGUGGCAUUUUCCCUCCUAUUUAAAAUUCCAACACCAAAAAGAAAGAAAGAAAAAAAAACUCUUUAACUCAACGCAAUACAAGGGAACAUCAACAAUAAAAAGCAGAAAUAAGCUCUCUCAAUAUAACACGUUACAGAUUACAGCUUCCGGAGAUCAAAAGUCUAUUUUACAGUCAAAACCACAUUUUCUCCUCCCCAUUUUCUUUUCUUUUCCCCCAAAUUUUUGAAACGAGGAGCUGCUAGAGUUACAUGAGUGUCACGCAGACAUUGAUAUCUCAUUUGAAAGGCGCGCCAAAAGAUUGCAACUCUCCACAACUUAAAUAUAUAGGUAGGAUAAUUUGGGAGCGAUUGGUCCAAAAAUGAACUAAGGUGUGUGUGUGUGUAAUUAAUGUCUUGAUGAUGAUCGGCAUGACAAAUAAAAAUAGUGUACAGUAAUGAGAAGGAUGGAAAAUGGUUGGUUCGAUUAGCUGGUUGUUCAGGUUAUGAGCAUCCGC